AUUGAACGCUGGCGGCAGGCUUAACACAUGCAAGUCGAACGAGUGGCGGACGGGUGAGUAAUGCCUGGGAAUCUGGCUGAUGGAGGGGGAUAACGACGGGAAACUGUCGCUAAUACCGCGUACCAUAGGAUGAGCCCAAGUGGGAUUAGGUAGUUGGUGGGGUAAUGGCCUACCAAGGCGACGAUCCCUAGCUGGUCUGAGAGGAUGACCAGCCACACCGGAACUGAGACACGGCCCAGACUCCUACGGGAGGCAGCAGUGGGGAAUAUUGGGCAAUGGGGGCAAGCCUGACCCAGCCAUGCCGCGUGAAUGAAGAAGGCCUUCGGAUUGUAAAGUACUUUCGGUGGCGAGGCGUUACCCACAGAAGAAGCACCGGCUAACUCCGUGCCAGCAGCCGCGGUAAUAC
rnacentral:rRNA from 1 species